rfam:Dipodomys ordii contig_50019, whole genome shotgun sequence.
UGGGAUGUAGCUCAGUGGCAAAGCGUUUGCCUAGCAAGCGCAACGUCCUGGGUUCGAUCCCCAGUACCAA